AAAAGUCCAACUGAAAGAAGAGAGGCAGUUGUUGUGCAAAGAAGAAGUGAGAGAGGAGCCAGAGAAGGAAAAUUGGGUUGGCAAAAAGAAUUCUGGAGAUCAGAAGUGUGAAAUGAGUCCUGCAAGGCUGACAUCAGGGUCAAGGAGGGCUGUGUUCCUUUUGGAAGCUCCGGAGAAGAGUUUGUUUCUCUGCCUUUCUCCACCUUCUUGGGGCUGACUGCACUCUUUGGCUCAUGGCUUCUUCCUUUCUACAUCUCCUCUCUCUGAUCUCUUGCCUCCCUCAGUGAAUAUGUGGAGGAUUACAUGACUACCAAGAGUGGUACUCAAGAUUCUGGACCAAGGCAGUCCCCUCCUGGGGAAUUACUCUGCACACUGACCAGAGCUCCAGUGCUUGGGGUUAACAGCAACCACUGGAGGUGGCUCCAAAGGAAUCUGAGAGUAGAAGAGGGAGGCUGAAGAGUGGGAGUCAAGGAAGGAGAUGUGAUUAUGGAAGCAUCAUUGUGUGAUGUGAGAAAACCUUGACUGGCCAUUGCUGACUUUGAAGAUGGAAGAGAACCACAAGACAAAAAAUGCUAGCAGCCUCUGAAAGCUGGAAAAUGCAAGAAGAUGGAAGAUGCUCUCCCAAAGCCUCCAGAAAAAAACAGCCUUUUUCUCAGCAAGGUCCAUUUUGGACUUGUGACCUGCAGAUU